GGCCCUAUCUGGAACGAGGCAGUCCAGGGCAAACUUUGGCACUGCCUUCCCUAACGGAACAGCCUGUGGCCUGGGGGUGGUGAGCUUUGCUUUCCCGACCAAGGGCGCGGCGGCCUUCCCACAGGGGCCCUGGGAACAAAUCACUCAUAACUGAAGUUUCAGGUUUCAGAAUCAGUCAGCUGAACAGAUAACUUGAUUGCUCCAUUUCUCCCCAAAUCAGUUCAGAAGCUACUGAUAACCCUUGAGAGACUGCUUCUUUAUUUUAUUUUAUUAUUAUUAUUUUUGAAAUGGAGUUUUGCUUUCGUUGCCCAGGCUGGAGGGCACUGGCGUGAUCUCAGCUCACUGCAACCUCCGCCUCCUGGGUUCAAGCUAUUCUCCCGCCUCAGCCUCCCGAGUAGCUGGGAUUAUAGGUGCCCGCCACCACGCCUGGCUAAUUUUUUGUAUUUUUAGUAGAGACAGGGUUUCACCAUGUUGGUCAGGCUGGUCUCGAACUCCCAACCUCAGGUGAUCCGCCCACCUCGGCCUUCCAAAGUGCUGGUAUUACAGGCAUGAGCCACUGCGCCCGGCCUGGAGAGCGCUUCUUAUGAGAGAAGCCAUGGGUCUCCGGAGCAGGAUUUCCACCACAUGAAGGUGGACGAUAAGAAAGUGUGGGACCCACGCCGGGGAGGGGCAAGUACAGCCCCCGCAAGGCCGCCCAUUAAAUCAGGAUUGGGGGAAACGGUGACAGUCUUUUCAGCAAGAUGAGAGGCCACCAGCCGGGCCAGUGUCACUGGAUUUGAGGGAGGGCCAUUUGGCCCCUUAGUUGGAAAAUAUGCAGAUGGCUGGCUCCUUGAUGGAGUCCCCUGAUGGCAGCUCCUUAGGAGACAAUACAGGACGUUCAGGCGGCGGCUGCAGUUCAGUGGCAGCCUGGAGGGGCUGUGCGUGAUGCCGGGCUGUGCGUGAUGCCGGGCUGUGGGUGAUGCCAUGCUGUGCGUGAUGCCGGGUUUGUGGGUGAUGCCGAGUUUGUGGGUGAUGCCGGGCUGCGGGUGAUGCCGGGCUGUGCGUGAUGCCGGGUUUGUGGGUGAUGCCGGGCUGUGCGUGAUGCCGGGUUUGUGGGUGAUGCCGGGCUGCGGGUGAUGCCGGGCUGUGCGUGAUGCCGGGCUGCGGGUGAUGCCGGGCUGCGGGUGAUGCCGGGGCUGUGUGUGAUGCCGGGUUUGUGUGUGAUGCCGGGCUGUGCGUGAUGCCGGGCUGGGGGUGAUGCCGGGCUGUGCGUGAUGCCGGGCUGUGCGUGAUGCCAGGCUGUGCGUGAUGCCGGUUUGUUUGUAGGUCUUUAGUUUUUUCUUUCUUUUGUGUUUAAUGGGGAAGCUUCCCGCCAAGACAGCAACCCCUCUGGGGGAAGGAGUUCAAGCUGAGACCUCUUUUUUUUUUUUUUUGAGACGGAGUCUCGCUCUGUCGCCCAGGCUGGGGUGCAGUGGCCAAUCUCGGCUCACUGCAAACUCCGCCUCCCGGGUUCACACCAUUUCCCUGCCUCAGCCUCCCGAGUGGCUGGGACUACAGGUACCUGCCACCACGCCCAGCUAAUUUUUUGUAUUUUUUAGUAGAGACAGGGUUUCACCGUGCUAGCCAAGAUGGUCUCGAUCUCCUGACCUUGUGAUCCGCCUGCCUCGGCCUCCCAAAGUGCUGAGAUUACAGGCGUGAGCCACUGCGCCCAGCCGAGACCUCCUCUUUCAAGUUGCUACCCAGGAGUGGGGUGCCCAGAGGGACAGCCCCUGGAGGUGCAGCCCCCUGCUUUGUUGGGGCGGGAGCAUGCCACCCUCUGAGCCGCGGUGGGCUCAGUGAAGUGGGUGUUGUCAUCCUUCCCACUGCACGGGUCUAGAGUCUGGGGUGCGGUGAGCUCGCGGCUUGCUGAGGGCCAACAGUUAGUGAGGGGUGGAGCUGCGACUUGCAGGAAGGUCCAGCCCCGCCUCCCAGGCCCUUUCUAGCCCCUUCUGUUGCCGUGCUGCUUCCCACCCUUGCCUGGAAUCCUCCUGUGGGGGACGCAUGUGGUGGCCCCUGUGGCUGACUUUCCGGCUGAGCCAGGGCACCAGUGUCCUCACUCUAGAGAUGAGCUCUUCUGAGGGGUGAGGUCCAGCCACACCUGUGGUGGGGUGGUGUAGCCCGAGCCUGUUACCCC
rnacentral:lncRNA from 1 species